rnacentral:rRNA from 1 species
ACGGGAGGCAGCAGUGGGGAAUUUUCCGCAAUGGGCGAAAGCCUGACGGAGCAACGCCGCGUGAGGGAUGAAGGCCUCUGGGCUGUAAACCUCUUUUAUCAAGGAAGAAGAUCUGACGGUACUUGAUGAAUAAGCCACGGCUAAUUCCGUGCCAGCAGCCGCGGUAAUACGGGAGUGGCAAGCGUUAUCCGGAAUUAUUGGGCGUAAAGCGCGCGCAGGUGGUUUCUUAAGUCUGAUGUGAAAGCCCACGGCUCAACCGUGGAGGGUCAUUGGAAACUGGGAGACUUGAGUGCAGAAGAGGAAAGUGGAAUUCCAUGUGUAGCGGUGAAAUGCGUAGAGAUAUGGAGGAACACCAGUGGCGAAGGCGACUUUCUGGUCUGUAACUGACACUGAGGCGCGAAAGCGUGGGGAGCAAACAGGAUUAGAUACCCUGGUAGUCCACGCCGUAAACGAUGAGUGCUAAGUGUUAGAGGGUUUCCGCCCUUUAGUGCUGAAGUUAACGCAUUAAGCACUCCGCCUGGGGAGUACGGCCGCAAGGCUGAAACUCAAAG